rnacentral:tRNA from 1 species
GGUUGUGGCUCAGUGGUAGAGCGCUUGCCUAGCACAUUGGAGGCACUGGGUUUAAUCCUCAGCACCA